UACGGGGGGGGCAAGCGUUGUUCGGAAUUACUGGGCGUAAAGGGCUCGUAGGCGGCCAACUAAGUCAGACGUGAAAUCCCCAGGCUCAACCUGGGAACUGCGUCUGAUACUGGAUGGCUUGAAUCCGGGAGAGGGAUGCAGAAUUCCAGGUGUAGCGGUGAAAUGCGUAGAUAUCUGGAGGAAUACCGGUGGCGAAGGCGGGUCUCUGGACAGUUCCUGACGCUGAGGCACGAAGGCCAGGGGAGCAAACGGG
rnacentral:rRNA from 1 species